rnacentral:rRNA from 1 species
AGUGAACGCUGGCGGUAGGCCUAACACAUGCAAGUCGAACGGCAGCACAGUAAGAGCUUGCUCUUACGGGUGGCGAGUGGCGGACGGGUGAGGAAUACAUCGGAAUCUACUUUUUCGUGGGGGAUAACGUAGGGAAACUUACGCUAAUACCGCAUACGACCUACGGGUAAAAGCAGGGGAUCUUCGGACCUUGCGCGAUUGAUUGAGCCGAUGUCGGAUUAGCUAGUUGGCGGGGUAAAGGCCCACCAAGGCGACGAUCCGUAGCUGGUCUGAGGAUGAUCAGCCACACUGGAACUGAGACACGGUCCAGACUCCUACGGGAGGCAGCAGUGGGGAAUAUUGGACAAUGGGCGCAAGCCUGAUCCAGCCAUACCGCGUGGGUGAAGAAGGCCUUCGGGUUGUAAAGCCCUUUUGUUGGGAAAGAAAAGCAGCAGGUUAAUACCCCGCUGUUCUGACGGUACCCAAAGAGUAAGCACCGGCUAACUUCGUG